UGGGGAAUAUUGGACAAUGGGCGAAAGCCUGAUCCAGCCAUGCCGCGUGAGUGAUGAAGGCCUUAGGGUUGUAAAGCUCUUUUAGCAGGGAAGAUAAUGACGGUACCUGCAGAAAAAGCCCCGGCUAACUUCGUGCCAGCAGCCGCGGUAAUACGAAGGGGGCUAGCGUUGCUCGGAAUUACUGGGCGUAAAGCGCACGUAGGCGGACUCUUAAGUCGGUGGUGAAAUCCUGGAGCUCAACUCCAGAACUGCCUUCGAUACUGGGAGUCUUGAGUUCGGGAGAGGUGAGUGGAACUGCGAGUGUAGAGGUGAAAUUCGUAGAUAUUCGCAAGAACACCAGUGGCGAAGGCGGCUCACUGGCCCGAUACUGACGCUGAGGUGCGAAAGCGUGGGGAGCAAACA
rnacentral:rRNA from 3 species